GCUACCUGUGUUGAGAAUGUGCUGCUACCUAAUUCAGGAGAUAGCUCUGCGUUAACAUCAUUACAGCUACCGACCUGAAGACAGCAGUAGGUUGUCCUGUGACUUUCUUUAAAAAAAAAGCACGAUUUAUCUCCACUCCUCAGACAGAGAGUACCAUAAUGGCUGUGGUUAACAGAUGUCUGAAGGUCCUCUUCAUUGGAAUAAACAUCAUACACAUAAUUUUAGCUGGUGUGAUUUUUACACUAGCUAUUAUGCUGGGCACUUACAUAACAAAUCAGUUUCAGGGCCAGGGACAAGAUGCGGGGCUUGGACUGAUACAAGCACCAAUCUGGCUACUGGGUUCAGGAGUCUUGGUGGUGGCUAGCCUUGGUAUCCAUGGUGCCAGAAAAGAGAAGAAGUGGCCCC
ensembl:lncRNA